rnacentral:rRNA from 1 species
UACGGAAGGCAGCAGUGGGGAAUAUUGCACAAUGGGCGCAAGCCUGAUGCAGCCAUGCCGCGUGUAUGAAGAAGGCCUUCGGGUUGUAAAGUACUUUCAGUCGUGAGGAAGGUGUUAAGGUUAAUAACCUUAGCAAUUGACGUUAGCGACAGAAGAAGCACCGGCUAACUCCGUGCCAGCAGCCGCGGUAAUACGGAGGGUGCGAGCGUUAAUCGGAAUUACUGGGCGUAAAGGGCACGCAGGCGGUUAAUUAAGUUGGAUGUGAAAUCCCCGGGCUUAACCUGGGAAUGGCAUUCAAGACUGGUUAGCUAGAGUCUUGUAGAGGGGGUAGAAUUCCGAUGUGUAGCGGUGAAAUGCGUAGAGAUGUGGAGGAAUACCGGUGGCGAAGGCGGCCCCUGGACAAAGACUGGACGCUCAUGUGCGAAAGCGUGGGGAGCAAACAGGGAUUAGAUACC